rnacentral:snoRNA from 1 species
AGGCCAUGGUGUGGGCAUUUUCUCAUUAACUCCUUCAUUCUCUCCCAAGCCUUAUUAAUUUUUUCACCUGGUGUUUGGGUGAAUCCAGUGAUGGCUCUUCUCAUGGU